rnacentral:rRNA from 1 species
CCUACGGGUGACAGCAGUCGAGAAUCAUUCACAAUGGGGGAAACCCUGAUGGUGCGACGCCGCGUGGGGGAAUGAAGGUCUUCGGAUUGUAAACCCCUGUCAUGUGGGAGCAAAUUAAAAAGAUAGUACCACAAGAGGAAGAGACGGCUAACUCUGUGCCAGCAGCCGCGGUAAUACAGAGGUCUCAAGCGUUGUUCGGAAUCACUGGGCGUAAAGCGUGCGUAGGCUGUUUCGUAAGUCGUGUGUGAAAGGCGCGGGCUCAACCCGCGGACGGAACAUGAUACUGCGAGACUAGAGUAAGGGAGGGGGAACCGGAAUUCUCGGUGUAGCAGUGAAAUGCGUAGAUAUCGAGAGGAACACUCGUGGCGAAGGCGGGUUCCUGGACAUUAACUGACGCUGAGGCACGAAGGCCAGGGGAGCGAAAGGGAUUAGAUACCCCAGUAGUC